rnacentral:rRNA from 1 species
UACAGAGGGGGCAAGCGUUGUUCGGAAUUACUGGGCGUAAAGGGCGCGUAGGCGGCCUUCUAAGUCGAACGUGAAAUCCCUCGGCUUAACCGGGGAACUGCGUCUGAUACUGGAUGGCUAGAGGUUGGGAGAGGGAUGCGGAAUUCCAGGUGUAGCGGUGAAAUGCGUAGAUAUCAGGAGGAACACCGGUGGCGAAGGCGGGUCUCUGGGCAGUAACUGACGCUGAGGAACGAAAGCGUGGGGAGCGAACAGG